UAAAUCUAAGUUUUGACAUAAAUUUGAGAUCCAGUUCUCUAAGAAACUUCUUCUUCUUCAACAAUGGCGGUUUGAUUUGAUUUUUGCUCUCUCUCAUGGGUAAAACUCGUUUCACCUACGUAGCAUCGAGAUUUCGGUUAAUCAAAUCUCAUGUUAUUAUGGACAUAGAUCAGUAAAAAGGUUUCCGAAUGGAAAUAUUUAAAUGGACACGUUAUUCUGAAUACCAAAAAAUUGUUUGUUGAUUUUUUUUUCAGUUUGCAGAGACCUCCACCUUCAAGACCUUACGGACAUGAAACUUUGGUCUCUUUACAAACCACGGUUAAUCAAAUCUCCUGUUAUUAUGGACAUGGUAUAUAGAAUGGAUAUGGAUCAGUAGAAAUAUUUCCGAAUGGAUAUAUUUAAAUGGACUCGUUAUUAUGGAAACCAAAAACUUGUUUGUUAAUUUUUCUUUAAGUUUGCAGAGACCUCCACCUCCAAGACCUUGUGGACAGUGAACUUUGGUUUCUUUACAAACCACGAUUAAUCGAAUCUCUUGUUAUUAUUGACAUGGUAUAUAGAAUGGAUAUGGAUCAGUAGAAAGGUUUCCGAAUGGAUAUAUUUAAAUGGACUCGUUAUUAUGGAUACCAAAAAGUUAUUUGUUGUUUUUCUUACAGGUUGCAGAGAGCUCCACCUCCAAGACCUUAUGGAUAUAGAACUUUUACCAAAUUUCUGAGAUAAUCGAGAUCGAAUUUUUUAAGAAGCUUCUCCCAUUUGUUUGUAGAAUUGGUACCACCGAUAUCUGGUGAGCCGCCGCCACAAUCGAUAAGAGGAAUCGUGGAAGGGGGAGAGAGAGAGAGAAAGAGAGAGAGAGAAAGAGAGAAAGAGAGAAAGAGAGAAAGAGAGAGAGAAAGAAAGAGAGAGAAAGAGAGAGAGAGAAAGAGAUUUCCUUUAUUUCUAAUUACGUUUAGUUGAAUUGAGGGUAAAAAAGUCCAAAAAAAAAGAAUUAGUGUAAAAAAGUGUCUAUUCCCUAGAAAGUGCUUCAAACAGAAUAAUAUUUUCUAAAAGUGCCUAAUCCUGUCACAUUCCCUAAAAAAAAUAGCAAAAUAAGAAAAGUAAACUGAAAGUAGUGUUUGAUACAUUAACAUAAUUUUUUAUAUUUGUUUUCUUU
rnacentral:sRNA from 1 species